GAUUGUCUAAAUAGUAUACACUCACAUUUAUUUGUGUUAACCUUUAAUUUCCAGGCGAAAUAAUAGUUAAAAACUUUUUCAAGGACUAUUUCUAAUUUCUUUUGAACUUCGGAUGGUUUUUUAUUAGCAUAGUAAACAAUCAGAUCGUCCGCAAAAGCCAGCAAUGUACAGUCUGUAUUAUUUGGGCCGUAGAGGUGUAAUACAUCUGAUGUGAAAAUAUUAAAUAAUAUUGGUGAGUUAAUUGUUCCUUGUUGAAGGCCAUUUAAAAGUUUGAAUUCUUGAUCUGAUUUUAUACCGUUGCUGAUUACUGCGAACGAUCUAUUUGUUAUCAUAUUCCAUACUAAUUUAAUUAUAUAAUCUGGUAUUUUUUUAUCUUUGAGUUUGAAGAUCAGCCCGUCUAGCCACACUGUAUCAAAAGCUUUUUCCAGGUCUACGAGGAUUGCUCCCACGCACUUUUUAUCAUUAAAGGCCCAGUUUACAUCUGAGACUAUUUUAUUGAUCGCAUGAGUUGUUGCAUGCUGCUCUUUGAAUCCAUAUUGACUUUCCGGGAUGAUCUUCCGCUCGAUACAUUGAUUUCUUGACUAGGUCAAAACUAUUGAAUCGCGGGUUUUUUUUUAAUCUGUGAAUUUUUGUAAGUAUUUCUUUGCUUUCUUUUCUAAGUUUCCUGAUUUCUUUAUUUAUGUAAAUAUCUGUCGAAUUUCUUUCUUUUAUCUUUGGGACUGCUAUAUCUAUUGCCUGUGUGAUUUGUUCCGAUAGAGUAUCUAAGUAUUUGUCAAUUUCUGUUAAUCUUAGGUUACGAUUAGAUGGUACAUUUUCUACCCAGAAUUUGCACAAUUCCUUCUGAUAUGUAUUCCAGUUUGCUUUAUCAAAAUUAUAAUUGUAUUUGCUUAUUUUUUCUUCUAAAAAGUAUUUGUGAUCAUCUAAGUUUAUUUCAAUUACUAGUGCUUCGUGAUCGCUAUCGAAUGUAGUAGAACGCAAUUCGCCUUGGAUAAGAUUGGUUAUUUUCAUUCUGGUGUCUGCCAAUACCAGAUCUAGACAAGAGUACUAGUUCUGGAUUAUGUUCGUCUAAUAGGAUUCUUAAUUCUUCUCUUUUAUAAUUGCUGAUAAGUGACUACAUGGUGGGCUAUUAUCCUGAUUCCUGUUAGGCUUCUCGGGUUACUCUCAGCUGUCAACUGCACCAUGAAUAUAGGCAGCACCUGGUUUCUUUUUUCUGCUGCUCUCGUUGUGAAUCUGCAAACCUUUAUGAUUGAU